GGGAGGCAGCAGCAAGGAAUUUCCGCAAUGGGCGCAAGCCUGACGGAGCAACGCCGCGUGGGGGAGGACGCUUUUCGGAGUGUAAACCCCUUUUCUCAGGGAAGAUGAUGACGGUACCUGAGGAAGAAGGACCGGCUAACUACGUGCCAGCAGCCGCGGUAAUACGUAGGGUCCGAGCGUUGUCCGGAGUUACUGGGCAUAAAGCGCACGUAGGUGGUCCGCUAAGUCGCGUGUGAAAUCCCCCGGCUCAACCGGGGGAAAUGCGCGUGAUACUGGCGGGCUUGAGAUCGGGAGGGGUGAAUGGAACUCCAGGUGGAGCGGUGAAAUGCGUAGAUAUCUGGAGGAACACCGGUGGCGAAAGCGGUUCACUGGCCCGACACUGACACUGAGGUGCGAAAGCUAGGGUAGCAAACGGGAUUAGAUACCCCGGUAGUCCUAGCCGUAAACGGUGCACGUUUGCUGUAAGAGGAAUCGACCCCUUUUGUGGCGAAGCUAACGCGUUAAACGUGCCGCCUGGGAAGUACGGCCGCAAGGUUA
rnacentral:rRNA from 1 species